CCUACGGGGGGCAGCAGUGGGGAAUAUUGGACAAUGGGGGGAACCCUGAUCCAGCCAUGCCGCGUGUGUGAAGAAGGCCCUCGGGUUGUAAAGCACUUUCAGUGAGGAAGAACGCCUGGUGGUUAAUACCCAUCAGGAAAGACAUCACUCACAGAAGAAGCACCGGCUAACUCCGUGCCAGUAGCCGCGGUAAUGCGGAGGGUGCGAGCGUUAAUCGGAAUUACUGGGCGUAAAGCGCGCGUAGGUGGCUUGAUAAGCCGGUUGUGAAAGCCCCGGGCUCAACCUGGGAACGGCAUCCGGAACUGUCAAGCUAGAGUGCAGGAGAGGAAGGUAGAAUUCCCGGUGUAGCGGUGAAAUGCGUAGAGAUCGGGAGGAAUACCAGUGGCGAAGGCGGCCUUCUGGACUGACACUGACACUGAGGUGCGAAAGCGUGGGUAGCAAACAGGAUUAGAUACCCGGGUAGUC
rnacentral:rRNA from 1 species